rnacentral:pre_miRNA from 1 species
AAACUCCUAUUGUGUGGAAGACUAGUGAUUUUGUUGUUUUGAAUUCUGCAACAAUGAAUCUCUAGUCUCCGUACAAAGGUAGUUU